rnacentral:sRNA from 2 species
UGUUGGGCUAAAGAUUAGUUCUUUGAAAUGGUCUGGGACGGACUACCCGAGCUCGGAAUAUGUGCCUGAAAUCCCAGCAGACAUUGGGUAUAGCGAUAGGGUUCGCCGUGAUGAAGAUGUCGGUAUCAGUGACGUGGAUACCGCCGUUCGGGAUCUUGGAUUGUCGACUCAAGAAAGUAGCCAGGUUUCUACUCAGACCCGCCAAGAUGAAGCUCUUAAAAGAGAUUUGCAGA